rnacentral:rRNA from 1 species
UCAAGCUAUGCAUCCACGCGUUGGGAGCUCUCCCAUAUGGUCGACCUGCAGGCGGCCGCGAAUUCACUAGUGAUUAGAGUUUGAUCCUGGCUCAGAACGAACGCUGGCGGCAGGCUUAACACAUGCAAGUCGAACGGCUGUAGCAAUACAGCAGUGGCAGACGGGUGAGUAACACGUGGGAACCUUCCUCGGGGGACGGAACAACUCAGGGAAACUUGAGCUAAUACCGUAUACGUCCGUAAGGAGAAAGAUUUAUCGCCCUGAGACGGGCCCGCGUCGGAUUAGGUAGUUGGUGGGGUAACGGCCUACCAAGCCUACGAUCCGUAGCUGAUCUGAGAGGAUGAUCAGCCACACUGGGACUGAGACACGGCCCAGACUCCUACGGGAGGCAGCAGUGGGGAAUCUUGGACAAUGGGCGCAAGCCUGAUCCAGCCAUGCCGCGUGAGUGAAGAAGGCCUUAGGGUUGUAAAGCUCUUUUACCAGGGACGAUAAUGACGGUACCUGGAGAAUAAGCCCCGGCAAACUUCGUGCCAGCAGCCGCGGUAAUACGAAUCGAAUUCCCGCGGCCGCCAUGGCGGCCGGGAGCAUGCGACGUC